rnacentral:rRNA from 1 species
ACACAUGCAGUCGAGGGGUAGAAUUAGCUUGCUAAUUUGAGACCGGCGCACGGGUGCGUAACGCGUAUGCAAUCUGCCUUGUACUGAGGGAUAGCCCAGAGAAAUUUGGAUUAAUACCUCAUAGCAUUAUGAAAUCGCAUGGUUUUAUAAUUAAAGUUCCAACGGUACAAGAUGAGCAUGCGUCCCAUUAGUUAGUUGGUAAGGUAACGGCUUACCAAGACGAUGAUGGGUAGGGGUCCUGAGAGGGAGAUCCCCCACGCUGGUACUGAGACACGGACCAGACUCCUACGGGAGGCAGCAGUGAGGAAUAUUGGUCAAUGGGCGCAAGCCUGAACCAGCCAUGCCGCGUGCAGGAUGACGGUCCUACGG